GAUGAACGCUGGCGGCGUGCCUAAUACAUGCAAGUCGAGCGAACAGACGAGGAGCUUGCUCCUCUGACGUUAGCGGCGGACGGGUGAGUAACACGUGGAUAACCUACCUAUAAGACUGGGAUAACUUCGGGAAACCGGAGCUAAUACCGGAUAAUAUAUUGAACCGCAUGGUUCAAUAGUGAAAGACGGUUUUGCUGUCACUUAUAGAUGGAUCCGCGCCGCAUUAGCUAGUUGGUAAGGUAACGGCCUACCAAGGCGACGAUGCGUAGCCGACCUGAGAGGGUGAUCGGCCACACUGGAACUGAGACACGGUCCAGACUCCUACGGGAGGCAGCAGUAGGGAAUCUCCCGCAAUGGGCGAAAGCCUGACGGAGCAACGCCGCGUGAGUGAUGAAGGUCUUCGGAUCGUAAAACUCUGUUAUUAGGGAAGAACAAAUGUGUAAGUAACUAUGCACGUCUUGACGGUACCUAAUCAGAAAGCCACGGCUAACUACGUG
rnacentral:rRNA from 1 species